rnacentral:rRNA from 1 species
UACAUACUGUGCGAACGUUAUUCGGAUUCACUGGGCUUAAAGGGUGCGUAGGUGGCUUGUUAAGUAGGGUGUGAAAGCCUCCAGCUCAACUGGGGAACUGCAUUCUAUACUGGCGAGCUAGAGUGAGAUAGGGGUGUGUGGAACUGCCAGUGGAGCGGUGAAAUGUGUUGAUAUUGGCAGGAACGCCGGUGGCGAAAGCGACACACUGGGUCUCAACUGACACUGAGGCACGAAAGCCAGGGGAGCGAACGGGAUUAGAAACCCGUGUAGU